AGAGUUUGAUCAUGGCUCAGGAUGAACGCUAGCUACAGGCUUAACACAUGCAAGUCGAGGGGAAACGACAUCGAAAGCUUGCUUUUGAUGGGCGUCGACCGGCGCACGGGUGAGUAACGCGUAUCCAACCUGCCCACCACUUGGGGAUAACCUUGCGAAAGUAAGACUAAUACCCAAUGACGUCUCUAGAAGACAUCUGAAAGAGAUUAAAGAUUUAUCGGUGAUGGAUGGGGAUCCCCGNGUCUGAUUAGCUUGUUGGCGGGGUAACGGCCACCAAGGCGACGAUCAGUAGGGGUUCUGAGAGGAAGGUCCCCCACAUUGGAACUGAGACACGGUCCAAACUCCUACGGGAGGCA
rnacentral:rRNA from 1 species